GACGAACGCUGGCGGCGUGCUUAACACAUGCAAGUCGAACGGAAAGGCCCUGCUUUUGUGGGGUGCUCGAGUGGCGAACGGGUGAGUAACACGUGAGUAACCUGCCCUUGACUUUGGGAUAACUUCAGGAAACUGGGGCUAAUACCGGAUAGGAGCUCCUGCUGCAUGGUGGGGGUUGGAAAGUUUCGGCGGUUGGGGAUGGACUGGCGGCUUAUCAGCUUGUUGGUGGGGUAGUGGCUUACCAAGGCUUUGACGGGUAGCCGGCCUGAGAGGGUGACCGGCCACAUUGGGACUGAGAUACGGCCCAGACUCCUACGGGAGGCAGCAGUGGGGAAUAUUGCACAAUGGGAGGAAGCCUGAUGCAGCAACGCCGCGUGCGGGAUGACGGCAUUCGGGUUGUGAACCGCUUUCGCCUGUGACGAAGCGUGAGUGACGGUAAUGGGUAAAGAAGCACCGGCUAACUACGUG
rnacentral:rRNA from 1 species